rnacentral:rRNA from 1 species
CCGAUCGCGAAAGGCAGCUCACCGGGCCGGAACUGACACUGAUGCUCGAAAGUGCGGGGUAUCAAACAGGAUUAGAUACCCUGGUAGUCCGCACAGUAAACGAUGAAUACUCGCUGUUUGCGAUACACAGUAAGCGGCCAAGCGAAAGCGUUAAGUAUUCCACCUGGGGGGUACGCCGGCAACGGUGAAACUCAAAGGAAUUGACGGGGGCCCGCACAAGCGGAGGAACAUGUGGUUUAAUUCGAUGAUACGCGAGGAACCUUACCCGGGCUUAAAUUGCGCUGGCUUUUACCGGAAACGGUAUUUUCUUCGGACCAGCGUGAAGGUGCUGCAUGGUUGUCGUCAGCUCGUGCCGUGAGGUGUCGGCUUAAGUGCCAUAACGAGCGCAACCCUUAUCUUUAGUUACUAACAGUUUUGCUGAGGACUCUAAAGAGACUGCCGUCGUAAGAUGCGAGGAAGGUGGGGAUGACGUCAAAUCAGCACGGCCCUUACGUCCGGGGCUACACACGUGUUACAAUGGGGAGCACAGCAGGUUGCUACACGGCGACGUGAUGCCAAUCCGUAAAACUCCUCUCAGUUCGGAUCGAAGUCUGCAACCCGACUUCGUGAAGCUGGAUUCGCUAGUAAUCGCGCAUCAGCCACGGCGCGGUGAAUACGUUCCCGGGCCUUGUACACACCGCCCGUCAAGCCAUGAAAGCCGGGGGUACCUGAAGUACGUAACCGCGAGGAUCGUCCUAGGGUAAACCUGGUGAUUGGGGCUAAGUCGUAACAAGGUAGCGAU